rnacentral:rRNA from 1 species
AAACCAGCACCUCAAGUGGUCAGGAGGAUUAUUGAGCCUAAAGCAUCCGUAGCCUGUUCUGUAAGUUUCCGGUUAAAUCCAUUAGCUCAACUAAUGGGCCGCCGAAAAUACUGUGGAACUAGGGAGUGGGAGAGGUAGACGGUACUCGGUAGGAAGGGGUAAAAUCCUUUGAUCUAUUGAUGACCACCUGUGGCGAAGGCGGUCUACCAGAACACGUUCGACGGUGAGGGAUGUAAGCUGGGGGAGCAAACCGGAUUAGAAACCCGAGUAGUCC